GGACAAGUUGGUCAAAAAUCAUCUAUGAAGAUGAAAUGAUCAAAAUGCCCUCCGUUUAGCUUAUUAAGCCAAAAUCGCCUGUACCGAUUAAUUUAAUUUUCCUUGUGUUUUCUUAGCAAUUUAUUAUCAUCGAAACCCUAAAAAUCUUUCUCUAGAGUCCCAGAAAUUAUUUCACAGGGUUUCCCCCAGGUUUAAGGUUGCUAGCUAUCUUCACAUUAGCUUCCCGUUAUGUCACCCAUCGCUGGAGCUACGGCUCAUUUAACUUUGUUGUAUUUUA
rnacentral:misc_RNA from 1 species